GUAAAGGGGCCGUGGUGACUGGAGAGCGGCAGGCUGCGGUCCGCAUUCCACGGGAAGGGGUCUGUCCUGCCAAGCAGAACCCAAACCAUCAGGGGUCAUCAUCUCGUCUAUUGUCUGGAAGAGGAAGAAAAACGCCUGCAACGCGCGCCGCUAUGUAAAAGUCUGAGGAAGAAGCGAUUUUUCCAAACUGAGAGAGUAUUUAUGGAAUAAAACCAGGUCUACCAAGCACCAUGUCAGGGAUAUCCGAUGGGAAAAAGAAGUGGGCAGCAGUCAGGGAUCGCCUGGGCUCCUCUCAGGACUCCGACACGCAGCAGGAGGCCAACUUGGAGAGCGCCGACCCCGAGCUGUGCAUCAGACUGCUGCAGGUUCCCACCGUGGUAAACUACUCGGGCCUGAAGCGACGCCUGGAAGGCAGUGACCAGACAUGGAUGGUCCAGUUUCUGGAGCUGUGCGGGCUGGAUCUGCUCCUGGAGGCCCUGGACCGGCUCUCGGGCCGCGGGUGCUCCCGCAUCGCCGACGCCUUGCUGCAGCUCACAUGCGUCAGCUGCGUCCGAGCCGUAAUGAACUCAUCAGCAGGGAUCCACUUCAUCAUAGAGAAUGAGGGCUACAUUAGGAAGCUCUCGCAAGCCUUGGACACCUCGAACAUCAUGGUGAAGAAGCAGGUGUUUGAGCUCCUCGCCGCCCUAAGCAUCUUCUCUGCAGAAGGUCACCGCCUGGCUCUGGAUGCCCUGGAUCAUUACAAGGGCUUGAAGACACAGCAGUAUCGCUUCAGCGUCAUUAUGAACGAGCUGCAGGGCACAGAUAACAUCCCAUACAUGGUUACACUCCUCAGUGUCAUCAAUGCACUCAUCUUUAGCACAGAUGACCUGAGACAGAGAGAUAAAAUCAGAAAGGAGUUCAUUGGCCUCCAGUUACUUGACAUUCUGCCAAAAUUAAGAGAUCAAGAGGACGAAGACUUGAUUAUUCAAUGUGAAGCUUUUGAGGAGGCAAUGGCUGAAGAUGAGGAGGAGCUGCUGCGAGUGUACGGAGGCAUUGAUAUGAGUAAUCACCAAGAAGUGUUCACUGCACUCUUCAACAAGGUGAGCAGCUCUCCAGCCUCCCUCCAGCUGCUCUCCAUCUUGCAGUCCGCACUAUUGCUCGGGCCGAGCCGAACCGAUAUCUGGCUGGCUCUGGAGUCCAUCACCAACAGAGCCAUACUCCUCGCUCAGGAUUCCCAGAUGGAGUCCUGUGAGAAGAUCAUGCAGCGACUGAUGUUCUUCAAGGGGAGGAGCUGCGAAGGCCAUCAUGAAAUAGAUGGGCUUGUGCUGAAGGUGGACAAGGCUGUGCAGACCGGUCUGGAUCAGGAGGAUGGAGACAAACAGGACACCAACACAGCAUCCACUCAGAAGCCUCUGUGUGCCUCUCCUCCCCCACCUCCACCACCACCUCCACCUCCUCCACCACCACUACCUGGAGGGCUGGGUGGACCUCCUCCACCGCCACCCCCUCCACUGCCUGGAAUGCCUCCACCACCCCCACCACUACCAUGUGGUCCGGGGAUGCCUCCCCCUCCACCACCAUUACCAGGAAUGGGUGGUGCACCACCUCCACCUCCUUUACCUGGGAUGCCUCCACCUCCUCCUCCUCCGCCGGGGAUGAUUGUGCCUCAGAGUAGCCAGAUCCUGGGCUCCAGUACCCCAUCAAAGCCAAGCAGAUGUCCCACUCUGAAGAUGAAGAAACUCAACUGGCAGAAACUUCGCUCUGUCGCAGAUGGUCAGUCCAUGUGGGCGUCGGUUCAGAAAGAACCGCCUCCUCAUGAGCCAGACUACGGCAGCAUCGAGGAGCUCUUCUGUCUGCCAGUCACCGAGCCCAAAGACAAGGGAGCAGCUGCUCCUGUGAAGAAGGAGCCCAAAGAGAUAACAUUCAUUGAUCCAAAGAAAAACUUGAAUAUGAACAUAUUCCUUAAGCAGUUUAAAUGCACAAAUGAGGAGUUUGUAGCCAUGAUCCAGAACGGAGACCGAAGCAGGUUUGAUGUAGAGGCGCUAAAACAGCUUAUGAAGCUCCUACCAGAGAAGCAUGAGAUUGAGAAUUUGAAGUCCUUCCAAGGAGAAAAAGACAAGCUGGCGAAUGUUGAUCGCUUUUACACCUCUCUACUUAAUAUACCAUGUUAUCAGCUCAGAAUUGAAUGCAUGUUGCUGUGUGAGGAGACGGCAUCACUGCUGGAGAUACUCAGGCCUAAAGUGAAGCUUGUCGAGGAGGCCUGCCAGUCUCUCCAGAUGAGCACAUUGCUGCCCAGUUUCUGCAGACUCAUCCUCGAUGUUGGAAAUUUUCUCAACUAUGGAAGUCACACAGGAAACGCUGAGGGGUUUAAGAUCAGCUCUCUGCUCAAGUUAACGGAGACGAAGGCCAACAAGAGCCGUAUCACGCUGCUUCAUCACAUCCUGGAGGAAGCAGAGGCGAACCACCAGGAGCUCUUGGCUCUGCCGGAUGACAUAGAGAUAUGUCAGAAAGCAGCAGGGGCCAAUGUGGAGUCCAUGCAGUCAGAAACUGGUGCUUUGCUCAAACAGCUCAAUGACUCUGCCAAGAAAGUGUCAAACUCUGUGGAUGAGGUGAAGGAGCAAUACGCAAAAAUACUUGAGGAAAACCUAAAGGCGUGCCAAAGUUUAAAUGAAAGAUUCACAGAGAUCGAGAAGAAGAGGAGUGACCUGGCUGUCUACUUGUGUGAAGAUGUGAGUCAGCUGUCGCUUGAGGAGCUCUUCGGAACCAUCAGAACUUUCAGAGAACUUUUUAUCAAGGCACUAAAGGAGAACAAAAUGAGGAAAGAACAAGCUGCCAAGGCUGAGAAGAGAAAGAAGCAGCUGGCAGAAGAAGAAUCCAAGAGACGAAAGGGAGAGAAUGGAAAAAUAAUAAAGAAAGGCAUUAUGCCACAAAACGAUGGCUGCAUCAUCGACCACCUCUUGGCAGACAUCAGGAAAGGUUUCAGCCUGAGAAAGACCCGGCCAAGGUGCGAUUCGGAAAGCCUCUCCUCUAGUGAAAUGCGUAGAGAUACAUGCCCACCUGGUUCAAGUGUGAAGUCUGCAGACGAAGGAGCCGCCCCCUCCACUCCCUCCAAACCUCACUCAGAGGAUCACCAGCGCCUCGAAGGCGAAGUGAACGGCUUCAUCAGCCCGUCAGCAGACACUGCACAAGCUCCACAGCUGAGUGCAGCCCAAGAUGGGACAGCAGUGCCUCCCAAUCCAACCCCUGGACAGCCAUUCACAACAACUCAUAUUCCUCUGGAAAGGCCGGCAUCGCUACAGGAUGGUAAAGGCCAAGAGAAACCCACUGCCUCUGUACUGGACACAACACCACCACCUGAGGCUGAAGUUCAACCAGGUCUACAUACAAACAGCUUUUCUUUAGAUUCAACGGAGACUAGCGUCCUCAGUCCAUCAUCCCUGUCAGAUUCAGACCUGCUUGAGGCCGUGCUGGACAGCGCAUCGAGCCUGGUGCAUGACGUCUCAGACGAGUCGGGCAUUAGCAAAAGCCUCGAUAACCAAGAAGGUUCAUCUGUUACAGACACUAAUGGGAAAUGUGGUGAACUUCCCAAAGGGGAUCACAAAACAAGCCAUUUACCAAAAGCAAGGGGAGAAGAUGAAGGUGAAGACAAGGAAUAUGUAACUGUGAGGACAUGCGGGGAGGAUGAAGUUUGGAGUAAGAAACUCUCAGAACCUGAAGCAAGUGUAGUUGCACUCGAUGAGGGCAUCAGCGGGUGUGACUUCCCAGAUGGGCAGGAACCGGAAGAAGUGCCGUCGGUCUCUGAGGAAGUGUCCACCUCUGUUGCACCUGAACCAAAGAAACAGCUGAAGCUCUUUAAGCGAAGCAAAAAAAGGAGUAGUCAAGGUAAACCAUUCAUUCAUUACAAUAAAGGUCACACUUUGAAAGCUAGCUUCUCAAGAUUUUUUAAAAGGGAAGCUAUCUUUUCUUUUGCGUUUGUCAGUUUACUUUUUAUGUUCUAUCUCUUGGUGAAUUUAUAUGAGCAGUUUUGCAUGAACUCAUUCAUUUUUACGGUACAAAUGCAAAUAUUAAAUACUGAAUGGAUUUAACUCUCUGGUCAGUUUGUUUUGAAUCUUCUGUUUUCCGUUUGACUCUCUGAAACACAAGGUAACAGUGGGAAAAGUGGGAAACGACACACUAAACAUAAAUCAGGCUGUGUGUUGCAGUGAGGUGAUUCCAGAAAAAAGAAAUCGAGAGGAAAAAGAAAGUGUUAAUUUCCUGCUGGAUUUAUAAGCUGAAGAAAAGAUUUUUAAUGAUCUAAAAUGAGAAUAUUUACUGCAAGAACUCUCUGAAGAUGUUGAAGUUGUCAUCAGUCGUCUACAGAAUCUCCCCUUGACCAAGAAGUAAAACAUCCAGGUCUGAUUUUUCACAGCAUGGGUGUUGGUGUCACUUUAUGUAAAUUAGAGUUUGUUGUUUAUAUGAAUGCAGAGCAGUCCUAAGAUAUAUAAAUAUGAAUGUGCUUUAUAUGUUUGUAUAUUUUGUAAUAAUUAGUGAAAUGUGUUUUGCUAUGAGUUGUGGUUACCCUGCAGCACCUUUUGAGAAGAUAUUGUUGGUGCAAGAUGUCUAAUUUAUCAAAACAAAAAAAACAGCCUUUGUCUCAAUUUAUUUAUAUAUUCUAGCAAUCUCUAAAAUAAAUAAAUGUAACUUUUAAUGUUGAAUAUAUUUUAAUAAAAUUUACUGUAUUUUUUUUUUUCUCAAAGUGUUUUCCCCCAGCACUUUCUGUUUUUUUUUGUUUUUGUUUUUUGCUGGGUGCUUCAUAACAAUAAAAUUUGCCAUGAUAUACA